rnacentral:rRNA from 1 species
CACUCCUACGGGAGGCAGCAGUGGGGAAUAUUGCACAAUGGGCGCAAGCCUGAUGCAGCCAUGCCGCGUGUAUGAAGAAGGCCUUCGGGUUGUAAAGUACUUUCAGCGGGGAGGAAGGCGAUAAGGUUAAUAACCUUGUCGAUUGACGUUACCCGCAGAAGAAGCACCGGCUAACUCCGUGCCAGCAGCCGCGGUAAUACGGAGGGUGCAAGCGUUAAUCGGAAUUACUGGGCGUAAAGCGCACGCAGGCGGUCUGUCAAGUCGGAUGUGAAAUCCCCGGGCUCAACCUGGGUACUGCAUUCGAAACUGGCAGGCUAGAGUCUUGUAGAGGGGGGUAGAAUUCCAGGUUUAGCGGUGAAAUGCGUAGAGAUCUGGAGGAAUACCGGUGGCGAAGGCGGCCCCCUGGACAAAGACUGACGCUCAGGUGCGAAAGCGUGGUGAGCAAACAGGAUUAGAAACCCCUGUAGUCCCA